rnacentral:rRNA from 1 species
UACGAAGGGGGCUAGCGUUGUUCGGAAUUACUGGGCGUAAAGCGCGCGCAGGCGGUUCUUCAAGUCAGAGGUGAAAGCCCAGAGCUCAACUCUGGAAUAGCCUUUGAUACUGGCUGUCUUGAGUUCGGGAGAGGUGAGUGGAAUGCCGAGUGUAGAGGUGAAAUUCGUAGAUAUUCGGCGGAACACCAGUGGCGAAGGCGACUCACUGGCCCGAUACUGACGCUGAGGUGCGAAAGCGUGGGGAGCAAACAGG